rnacentral:lncRNA from 1 species
GAGUAAUGAAGUUAAGUGGUUGGGGUGAGCUUGAAUGCUUUAUAUUUUUUAAUAUUUAAAACAACGUCAGCUGAGUACCAGGUGUGAAGAAGAGGUAAUGAGUGAAAAAAACCAAGAGAAAGGGGAGACUUGUUCCAACCGCAGAAUUUCCAGCUUCUGCAACGAGAGCUCGUACCUUCAGCCCCACUGCCUCUGCUCUAGGCUCUCCUCUGAUCCUCAGGACAUUUUUCCUCUCACUCUUUGAGAACUCGUUUACCUUCCUUUUCCAUCAAUGUCUGAUCACCCAGAGAAGGUGGGAGAAUAAAUACCAAGCACUGUGCCUUCCCUCAAGGAGCAUUUAAUCCAGUGUCACUGCUGACUUCCUGUGGAUAAUGCAAAGUUGGCUUACAAUAGUAAGGGAGACCACUAAAUUGACAGAAUCUUUGUAGCAUUUCAAAAGGGUGUCAGGCCUCUGAGCCCAAGCUAAGCCAUCGUAUCCCCAGUGACCUGCACAUAUACAUCCAGAUGACCUGAAGCAACUGAAGAUCCACAAAAAAAAUGAAAAUAGCCUUAACUGAUGACAUUCCAUCAUUGUGAUUUAUUUCUGCCCCAACCUAACUGAUCAGUGUACUUUGUAAUCUCCCCCACCCUUAAGAAGGUUCUUUAUAAUCUCCCCCAUCCUUAAGAAGAUUCCUUGUAACUCUCCCCACCCUUGAGAAUGUACUUUGUGAGAUCCACCCCCUGCCCCCAAACCAUUGCUCUUAACUCCACUGCCUAUCCCAAAACCUGUAAGAACUAAUGAUAAUCCACCACCCUUUGCUGACUCCUUUUUCAGACUCAGCCCGCCUGCACCCAGGUGAAAUAAACAGCCUUGUUUUUCACACAAA